CCUCAUUGGGAUCGUCUUCAUGUAUUAGAGAAGUUCCACACACAUUGAGCCUCACAAAGGAAGGGGUCUGGGUAUCAGAUUCCCUCUUCGCAGGAAGUGCCUUUGGAAAUUUACUUACUGCCGACUGAGAAGCUCUGCAAGCUGAAAGUGACAGCAGAGAGCGGCGUGGGUGGGAAGGAAACCAGUUCUCCUGCCUGUCUCCUGCUCCCUCACCUUUUCGGCUUUGCACCUGGUGGAGUGUUCCUGGCAGAGUGUUCCGGUAGAGCAGCACCUGGUGACUUUGUUCUCACAAGUCUGCCUGGAGGUGUUGCAUGGGAACAGAGCACACAGUCUGGAGCCUUCGUGUGGGAACUCUGCCACACUGUAACACUUUACACAUCAUUUUGUCCCAACAGCAAUGGAGCCUCUUGUUUCUAGGUUUUCCUUAAGGGGUAGUGCUAAAUAUUUGUAAAAUGAACACAUAAAGAGCCUAGAGUUCAGAGGCCUUAACAGAUGGU
rnacentral:lncRNA from 1 species